GGGGAUGACAGGCUUCGACAGCGUGAUUCUAGGGUUCGCUUGUUUCUGUUAGGGAUGGCAUCGGUUCCCUAUACCCACUUGAUGCACACUUAUUUGCAAACACUGCAAACACUGCAUUCCGUAACGCAGCUGCUAAGGGUGAAGAGUUCGUAAGAUCUCUAGCUCCGCAGUUCGCUAUGGCUGCAUAAGUUCGCCCUCGCGCGAACGCGUCACCUUCCCGACUUCCACUACGGAAAUGUGGCGUCACUUAGUGGAACGACUUAUCACUUGGCGUGAUGAUACUGUUGUAUUAGCGCUGACCCUCUCUACUUAUUUUUAGUCCUAUCUUUAUGAGUAGAGCGAUCUGGAAUGGACAUAACAGUAUGAACACUUGCUCUACAUGUUGGACCCGGGUUCAAUUCCCGGCAUCUCCACCA
rnacentral:tmRNA from 1 species